AGACAUAACCCAGGUGCCUGGGGAUUGGGGUGUGCGUCCCAGCAUGGACAAGAUGCCCCAGUGUCUGAGCUUGAGUCCCUCUAGUGAGUGUGCUGGGUCCUAAUGACACCUCUGUUCCCUCUCUGAGCCUGGCCAGGCUGCUCUCGAGUGUCCCAGCCUACACACUCGCCAUCCGUGUGAGUUCAUGCUUUCCCGGGUUCUUGCUGACACUUGGUGUCAUUGUACUUUUUUGCAUUUUCCCAACCCGAUAGGUGAGACACAGAUUCUCUUUCUCUAAUUUUCAUUUUCCUGAUGACUAGGAAGGUUGAGCUUCUCUUUCCACGUCUGUGGCCGCUUGUGUCUUCUGUGUUUCUUUCCUUUGCUCGUUCUCUCUUGGGCUAUGGUCUUAUUUGUG
rnacentral:lncRNA from 10 species